AAAUUGAAGAGUUUGAUCAUGGCUCAGAUUGAACGCUGGCGGCAGGCCUAACACAUGCAAGUCGAACGGUAACAGGAAGCAGCUUGCUGCUUCGCUGACGAGUGGCGGACGGGUGAGUAAUGUCUGGGAAACUGCCUGAUGGAGGGGGGUAACUACUGGAAACGGUAGCUAAUACCGCAUAAUGUCGCAAGACCAAAGAGGGGGACCUUCGGGCCUCUUG
rnacentral:rRNA from 1 species